rnacentral:rRNA from 1 species
UACGUAGGGUGCAAGCGUUUGUCCGGAAUUAUUGGGCGUAAAGAGCUCGUAGGCGGUUUGUCGCGUCUGCUGUGAAAACUGGAGGCUCAACCUCCAGCCUGCAGUGGGUACGGGCAGACUAGAGUGCGGUAGGGGAGAUUGGAAUUCCUGGUGUAGCGGUGGAAUGCGCAGAUAUCAGGAGGAACACCGAUGGCGAAGGCAGAUCUCUGGGCCGUAACUGACGCUGAGGAGCGAAAAGCGUGGGGGAGCGAACAGG